rnacentral:sRNA from 1 species
CACUGCCGGGUGACAACCGGACGCAACGGAGAUGAUGAACGGGGUGCUUAUUUUUCCGGUUUCUGCCCACGACAUCAACGCAUCGGCACGCGCUGACAUCUGACCCGUUCCCGGC